rnacentral:rRNA from 1 species
UACGGGGGGAGCAAGCGUUGUUCGGAUUUACUGGGCGUAAAGGGCGCGUAGGCGGCCACCGCAAGUCGACUGUGAAAUCUCCGGGCUUAACCCGGAAAGGUCAGCCGAUACUGCGGGGCUAGAGUGCAGAAGGGGCAACUGGAAUUCUCGGUGUAGCGGUGAAAUUCGUAGAUAUCGAGAGGAACACCGGCGGCGAAGGCGGCCAUCUGGACGAGGACUGACGCUGAGAUGCGAAAGCGUGGGGAGCAAACAGG